GCAAUGAUUAAUAGGUCGUGUACAGAUAAAAAUUAAAUAAUUCGCUUACCUCAACAUCGCAUUACUACCUUACCUCAACAUCUCACCUACAACAGUGGCAUACGCAUCAGUAGUUUCGGCUUACUUUUGUAUGCCCGUGCGGCUUUUCCGACAUUAAGCGCAUUAUUAAUGCCGAUAGAUUACCUUUCGUCUUUCGCCAGACGUUCUGUUUAGUUUUGGUGAGUAUAAUAUAUUAAUAACAUUCGACGGGAUUGUCGUCUUUGUCGAAUGGAUAAAGGAAAAAAAAAAAUUAUCUCGAGAUAAACGCGAAAUAUAAUAAUACGUCUCAAAACUCCCGAGUCUUUAUACCUAUACGGUUUAAGGGAAUCUGUUCGACAAAAGCACUCGUCCGGAUGUAGUAUAAUAUUAUACUUGUAUAUUAUUAAUAAAAGCUAAAAAGCCCCUUAGCGAGUGAAGAUUCCGUUAUAUUAUGCUAUAAUAUUUUAGUCUGUACCUACUUAACAAAUAUACGACCAUUAUUAAUAAUAAUAUACAGUUGUUAGGGUUGUGUGAAACUUUAGAGAACCGAUAAAUGGUUAUAUAGGUUCUGUGAAAUUCGCAGAGCAUCUCAAUAACAAAAUAGUCUGUGUAUAAUCAUUUGAUUAUAAUUUCGUUAUCACGUAAUUACGUAAUUUAAUUUUCAAGUUAUUGCAGAUGCGUUAUUUUUGUGGUGACGUAGAAAGUAUAAAAUACAAAGGAAAUGCCAGUUUUUUAUCACUAUCGUCUUAAAUAAAAUAAGUGUGAAAUUUUUAAAAUUUUGAUUUUGAGAUUAAGCCAAGCAGGCAGUUAAUAAAUAGACCAAGAUCUCUU